rnacentral:lncRNA from 1 species
GGAGCACAGCAGUCAGCAGAUUCCUCCCUGACCAUAUGUUCAGAUCCUUGAAACCAACUGUCAAGAUGGCGUGCUGUCCAAGUAGAAUGUGAUCACACUGUUCGACCAGCAUUAACAAUUUAACACUAACUAUUUAUGUAAGCUUUGGUUGUAACGAAUGAUGUGUGAUAACACUACUACUAUCUUGCUUUUGCUGCUGCUGCCAUGAACUUGAU